rnacentral:rRNA from 1 species
UCGAGAAUUUUUCUCAAUGGGGGAAACCCUGAAGGAGCGACGCCGCGUGGAGGAUGAAGGUCUUCGGAUUGUAAACUCCUGUCAUUAGAGAACAAACUGCAUGGGUUAACUGCCUGUGCAUUGAUAGUAUCUGAAGAGGAAGAGACGGCUAACUCUGUGCCAGCAGCCGCGGUAAUACAGAGGUCUCAAGCGUUGUUCGGAUUCAUUGGGCGUAAAGGGUGCGUAGGUGGCGUGGCAAGUCGGAUGUGAAAUCCCGGGGCUCAACCCCGGAACUGCAUUCGAUACUGCCUUGCUAGAGUACUGGAGAGGAGAUUGGAAUUUACGGUGUAGCAGUGAAAUGCGUAGAUAUCGUAAGGAAGACCAGUGGCGAAGGCGGAUCUCUGGACAGUUACUGACACUGAGGCACGAAGGCCAGGGGAGCAAACGGG